rnacentral:rRNA from 1 species
UACGGAGGGUGCAAGCGUUAUCCGGAUUUACUGGGUUUAAAGGGUGCGUAGGCGGGCCUUUUAAGUCAGUGGUGAAAUCUCCCCGCUCAACGGGGAAACUGCCAUUGAUACUAUUGGUCUUGAAUUUAGUUGAGGUGGGCGGAAUGUGUCGUGUAGCGGUGAAAUGCUUAGAUAUGACACAGAACACCGAUUGCGAAGGCAGCUCGCUAAACUAAUAUUGACGCUGAGCACGAAAGCGUGGGGAUCAAACAGG